rnacentral:rRNA from 1 species
GACGAACGCUGGCGGCGUGCUUAACACAUGCAAGUCGAGCGGUAAGGCCCUUUCGGGGGUACACGAGCGGCGAACGGGUGAGUAACACGUGGGUGACCUGCCCUCAGCUCUGGGAUAAGCCUGGGAAACCGGGUCUAAUACUGGAUAUGACUCCAUGACGCAUGUUGUGGGGUGGAAAGCCUUGUGCGGCUGAGGAUGGGCCCGCGGCCUAUCAGCUUGUUGGUGGGGUGANGGCCUACCAAGGCGACGACGGGUAGCCGGCCUGAGAGGGGCGACCGGCCACACUGGGACUGAGACACGGCCCAGACUCCUACGGGAGGCAGCAGUGGGGAAUCUUGCGCAAUGGGCGAAAGCCUGACGCAGCGACGCCGCGUGAGGGA